CCAUAGAAAUAUAUGGAAGACAGCGCGCUAACGUAUCUAGUCUACGUAUAUCUAUGGUCAGCACGUCUGGUAGCAUCUCUGGCUGCUGUUGACCUUGUUUUUGGAGUAAAACACGGUGGAAGCUGAAUUAGUGAGGAUGACUCCUGCUCCUGUCAUCUCUAAGCUCCUCACACAUCUUUACCUGCACAUGAGGAAAAUCACUCCUGUAGAAUGCAGAUGUUCAGAGGGAGAUGAUGCCACAUCUGGUCCAGCUGAUGGAAGGUCUUGAAGUUCUCUGACUGGCCUCGACUGAAGAUGGUCGUCUCUCUGGAUUUAAGGUUCAGAUGCUCAGUAACAAACUCCACCAAUGUGCCAACAGGGAAGCUUUAGGUUUAUUAAAUGUUGCUAUGAAGGUAUCGCUGUUUUUCUUUGUGAAUGCAAUGUGCUCCAACUGAAACUUGAAUUAGAACUUAGAAGUAAAUCCUUCCAUCUGAAAUGAUUUAGUUGCAUUAAUAACUUCAUAACAUUCUAAUUUUUAUUCCAGUCUUGGUUGGAAAUAGAAUCUCUGUAUUGAUUCAGGUAAAAACUGAACUUCACAGCAUGUUGAAGCAAAACAACCAGAUGAAAACUGUGAUGGUGUUGGAUUGUCAGACCGUAAUGUUGCAGCUCAAAGCAGCUUUUCUAUCUCAGUUCAUUCUGACAUUCAGCUAUGAAUCAACACAGCAGAUGGUGAUCCAUGCUGUGGAAGUCUCACAUCUCCUGAUUUAAUGGAGCUGCUUUACACUUUUUACACUGUUUAUUCACCAACACUUUAUUUAAUAAAAGUCCCAUCUAGUUUUUAUGAGGAAUGUGAUGUUUUAAUUUCUCUGUGAAUAACUGCAGUCUAAUGUAACAGCUGGAAUUGUAACAUCUGUCCUGAUAUUGAUCAUGAAGUAUUGAUCAGAAUACUUAUGGUUAGCAGUCAUCCCUGAAGUUUUACAUUAAAAUCUUUACUUGUGUUGUGAACUUUGGUAAGAAGCAGAAACGUUAGCGUUGCCAUGGAUACAUGAGUGUUAAAUUCUGUCCAUGUUUCAUUUUGGGAAAUGCAGUCCAGUUCCAGAAUGUGGAGGAAUUUAGUCUCACAAUCACAGACAACAAAUAUUAUCUGAAAGUCGAGUUAUUGUUGUUUAUCAGCACAAUACAAAAAGAUUAAUGUUAGAAAUAUUCCAGUUAAGACUCUAGAAUAUCAUGAUUUAUGUAAAUUUACCUCAAUAAUAUGAAUGUUCAGGUUAAGAUUGUACAGUGAUAUUUAUUAUGUAAGUUUAGCUGAUUAAAGUUUAUGACUCUGCACUAAAAUAUUAUUUAAAUUGACAUCAUUAUUAUAAUAUUUAGGGUCAGACCCUACAGUAUUGAGAUUAAGAAAUCAAAUAUUCUAUAAAAUGUAAAUACACUGAACUCAUUUGGAUAUAUUGAAGUGAGACUCUACAAUAUUAUUUGACACAAAUCUGUCUAAAUCAAAAUUUUAAUAAUUUUCACGCCAAACAUUUACUGGACUGAUUUAAAUAUUAAAAUCACUCCUUUCUAAUCCUCUGCUGUACGUUCAAACCUGAGACCUGAAAUAGAAACACACAAGUAUCUGAUUGAAGGAACUUCUGCAGAGUCCUGGUUCCAGAACAUGAUGAUAGAAUUAUAGACAAACUUUAACAAAAGCUGCCUGAGAGUUUACAGGUUUUUAUGUUAGAUUUCUUCAGUAAUUUAAUGAGAGUUAUCAGCAAUAAUCAAGUGUUCAUUUGAUGAACUUCAUUUCCUAAAACAUCCAGAAUUGGAGCUCAUAUCUUUGGCAGCUGUAGAGUUUCUGCUCCUUCAAAGUUCACAACACAAUGAAUUAAUUCCUAAAACACUCUCAAUGCUGGAGAGCGUUUGUGAUGCUGAAGCAGUGAGCAGUUUUUCUGUUUCUUCUCUGGAGAUGCACAAUGAGGGACGUCUGCAGCGACUGAGAAAGAGUCUCACCACAUCCUGACAUGAGGAAAAAGACUUUAUUGAAGACUACAAUGAGAAAAACUAUCAGACAGCAGACGGCUGCAUUCAAGUCUGUAGCUGCUGAAUUCAUGGAUGAAUCAUCUGGCACUAGAGAAGAAGACCAUCAAACAUCCAUGUCAGCUGAUGGAGGUCCAAGAGUCUCACCGAACAACCAACCUACAGAGUGAAGACCUCGAACCUGAUUGGACGGCCUCCUAUUCAGCCACGUGUGAACAAAUGCCUCUAAGCUGAUUUGUUUCCUAAAUUAAAUCCAGUUUUGAGUCCUAAUCUAUGCCUGUGUGUUUGCUUCUUUACACUGCUGUUAACAGUUUAGGCUGUUAGAUUGUUCCAGAUAAGACAAGUACAAGAUUCUUCAGAGCCGUUCUACCACGAUCCUGACAGGAAGAACUCCAACAGCUACUGAAUGUUCCUGUGGUCCCCUCAAGGCUACAGGAGGAGCCCUACGAGGAUGAGCCGGUCCACCUGAUGGUGGCCAGUCGCUGCGGUUCAAAGCCAACACCGACUACGUGGACUUCUACUGGACCACAUGGAGGCCUUCAAACCGGACCAAAAAGUUCACCGACUCCCCGACUCGUGGGUCUGAGGAUGCCGCCGAGCCUCGGUCCAGCCGGCCUCCUGUCUGUGGGUG